rnacentral:rRNA from 1 species
UACGGAGGGUGCAAGCGUUGUUCGGAUUUAUUGGGCGUAAAGCGCGUGUAGGCGGUCUUUUAAGUCUGAUGUGAAAGCCCCGGGCUCAACCUGGGAAGUGCAUUGGAAACUGGGAGACUUGAAUACGGGAGAGGGCAGUGGAAUUCCUAGUGUAGGAGUGAAAUCCGUAGAUAUUAGGAGGAACACCGGUGGCGAAGGCGGCUGCCUGGACCGAUAUUGACGCUGAGACGCGAAAGCGUGGGGAGCAAACAGG